UACGAAGGGGGCUAGCGUUGCUCGGAAUCACUGGGCGUAAAGGGCGCGUAGGCGGCGUUUUAAGUCGGGGGUGAAAGCCUGUGGCUCAACCACAGAAUGGCCUCCGAUACUGGGACGCUUGAGUAUGGUAGAGGUUGGUGGAACUGCGAGUGUAGAGGUGAAAUUCGUAGAUAUUCGCAAGAACACCGGUGGCGAAGGCGGCUCUCUAGUACGGUACUGACGCUGAGACGCGAAAGCGUGGGGAGCGAACAGG
rnacentral:rRNA from 1 species